UACAGAGGUCCCGAGCGUUGUUCGGAUUCACUGGGCGUAAAGGGUGCGUAGGUGGCGAGGUAAGUCGGGUGUGAAAUCUCGGAGCUUAACUCCGAAACUGCAUUCGAUACUGCCGUGCUUGAGGACUGGAGAGGAGACUGGAAUUUACGGUGUAGCGGUGAAAUGCGUAGAUAUCGUAAGGAAGACCAGUGGCGAAGGCGGGUCUCUGGACAGUUCCUGACGCUGAGGCACGAAGGUCAGGGGAGCAAACGGG
rnacentral:rRNA from 1 species